rnacentral:pre_miRNA from 1 species
AGUGGGAUAGCUGAGUCAUAUCAUGGUUACAUUCCUAUUUUUUUGAGGAAUAUUCAUAUUGCUUUCCAGAGUGGUUGUACCAAUCUGUAGUCCCACUAAUUAU